GUCGAAUCGGUUCCCGCUGUUCGUAAAACAGUCAAAUACGCACAUUUCCCUUCCCCUUCUUACAGGCUUAGGACUGUCGACUAAGAAUUAUUUAGUUUUUAUACUACAGAAACAUUUAUGUAUUUUAUAUUAUGUAGCCAUAAUAUAUUCUAGAUACGUGUAUCCGGACGGAUUGACGUUAAAUCUUAAUCGAUUACGGUAAUUCGGCAAUACGUCGAUUUAAAAGUAUUUUAUCACUUCGAUAACUAUCAAAUACCCGCCGCGCCGUAGUACCUACGAUAAAAGUUUAAA